rnacentral:rRNA from 1 species
CAGCAGCCGCGGUAAUACGAAGGGGGCUAGCGUUGCUCGGAAUGACUGGGCGUAAAGGGCGCGUAGGCGGUUUGAUCAGUCAGGCGUGAAAUUCCUGGGCUUAACCUGGGGGCUGCGCUUGAUACGGUCGAGCUAGAGGAUGGAAGAGGCCCGUGGAAUUCCCAGUGUAGAGGUGAAAUUCGUAGAUAUUGGGAAGAACACCGGUGGCGAAGGCGGCGAGCUGGUCCAUUACUGACGCUGAGGCACGAAAGCGUGGGGAGCAAACAGGAUUAGAUACCCGCGUAGUCCCUGUCUCUUAUAA